rnacentral:lncRNA from 10 species
CCAAUCUAGAGGAUAACGGCUGUUCAGCUUCAAGAACAGAGAUGGGGUCUCGCUAUGUUGCCCAUGCUUCUCCUGAACUCCUGGACUCAAGCAAUCCUCCAAUCUCAGCUUCCCAAAGUACUGGGUUUACAAGUGAGAGCCACUGUGCCCAGCCUAUUUGGAAUUUAUUGACCUUCUCAGAUGGACGGAAUAAUUUUCAUCAAAUUUGGGAAGCUUUGGCCAUUAUUUCUUCAAAUAUUCUAUCUGUUGCUUAUCCCCUCUAUUUACUUUCUGAGACUUUCAUUACAUAUGUGUUGGUGUGCUGGAAAGUAUACCAUAUGUUUCUAAGAGUCUGUUCACUUUAUGUUUUUCACUUUUUUUCUGUUUCACUUCUUCAUGUUCCUCAGACUGGAUAAUUUCCAUUGACCUAGCUUCAUAUUUGCUUAUUCUGUCUUCUGCCACCUCAAAUCUGCUGCUGAGACCUGUUCUCUUUGUUGCUACUUCAUAGUUCUUUAUACAUGGUUUACUUCAGUUCCUUGAACAUAGUUAACAUAGCUGACUUUUAAUCUUUGCAUAUUAAGUCUGACAUAUGAGCCUC